rnacentral:rRNA from 1 species
UACCUGGUUGAUCCUGCCAGCAGUCAUAUGCUUGUCUCAAAGAUUAAGCCAUGCAUGUGCAAUGUGGCACCCCGGCUCAGAGAAACCGGAACGCCCCGUAUUCCAGCCCAGAGAUCGAGGAGAAGUCUUCUGGAAUACGGCAUUGCUUAGCAUAGAACAAAUCAGCUCUUUAUUAAAAUCUAUAUGGGUACAAUUGGAUUACUUCGGCACGGCGACAAUACACCUGCCACAGUUGCUCCAAGCAAGCAGCAGAACAACACGAUGUAGCGGAAUGACUACUGGUAGCGGAAAAGCGACGACGGCGGUGAACUCCAGUCCGCAGGGACUCUGGCUGGAACGCUUAUCCAAGAGCGCAAACAAGGGGUCCACGGCAAACAAGCAAUCAUAUCUGGCAUGACCUACAAACUGGCAUGACACGCCAGGUCAGUACAUUGAAUGUACUUGCAAGCUCACAGCAACCAAAGCAAUCAAGACAAGCAAUAGCAUGGCAAUUAUAGAUUAUUAAGCAAUGAUUAACAUGAUUCUAUCAGAUCAACCAUAGCAUGGGCAAGAUGAUACAUCUAGAACAAUACGAGCAUGGCAUAAACAUAUGAACAUGAUGAGACUAGCAUGCCACAUGAUGAACUAUCAUGCACCAACUUACUCUGUUCGGGUUACAUCGUAACCACCACAUGUAUCACUUACCAUCACGGACAUCACACGAUCAUCUCAGGAUCCAAUCAAGCUUGGUAUUAACAAUACCGUAGUAAUCAUACAUGACCACAAGGAGCUUGAUCUUUACCCUUGACUCUCGCAUAACACCCCAAAUAUCCAACGAGUCGGUAUCCACGAUACCACAGUGAUCCUCUCACGAUCACAUAAGUAUCAACCAACUUCUUUCAUCAUCAAACCGGGGUUGUUAUUAAUCAAAUUAUUAUUACUAUUACUGUUGACCCAUAGUGUGACCGACAUGAACUGGGCACAUAUCCGCGGGCGCGGCUAUCGAUAGAUUAAACGCACACUCUGCAGAGGUUAGCACACUGUACCCACACCACGGAACCCAUGGUCUCGCACUCCCAUACGUGCGGACACGACGUUCUGACAAAACCGACCUACUGCCAUGACACUCUCCCGGCCACUCCGACAAGCUCCCCUUUGGGCUAAGUCCUGGGUAGCUAUGCGGAGCCAUCCCUCCGCAGCUAGCUUCUUAGAGGGACUAUCGCCGUUUAGGCGACGGAAGUUUGAGGCAAUAACAGGUCUGUGAUGCCCUUAGAUGUUCUGGGCCGCACACGCGCGCUACACUGAUGUAUUCAACGAGUAUAUAGCCUUGGCCGACAGGCCCGGGUAAUCUUGGGAAAUUUCAUCGUGAUGGGGAUAGAUCAUUGCAAUUGUUGGUCUUCAACGAGGAAUGCCUAGUAAGCGCGAGUCAUCAGCUCGCGGUGACUACGUCCCUGCCCUUUGUACACACCGCCCGUCGCUAUUACCGAUCGAAUGGUCCGGUGAAGUGUUCGGAUCGCGGCGACGGGGGCGGUUCGCCGCCUCCGACGUCGCGAGAAGUCCAUUGAACCUUAUCAUUUAGAGGAAGGAGAAGGCGUAACAAGGUUUCCGUAGGUGAACCUGCGAAAGGAUCAUUG